rnacentral:tRNA from 1 species
GUCACGAUAGCUCAAGUGGUGGAGCAGCGGCGUGUUAAGCCAUAGAUCGUGGGUUCGAAUCCCGCUCGUGACA